rnacentral:lncRNA from 1 species
UCUCAGGCAUCUUGAAUUUAGGGCCCUUUAGUUUCGCAUCUGGACCUUCGAUAUUCACAUCAGGAACAUCAAUGUCCACCUUGGGUCCUGAGACGUCAAGGUCAGCCUUGGGCAGGUUCACAUCCACAUCUGGGCCCUCUCCUUUGAAGCCAGGCAUGCUGAACUUGGGCAUUUUCACCUUGGGCAUCUUCAGGCAUGGAGAUCUUGGGGGUCUUGAAAUGCAUCUCAGGCAUCUUAAACUUGGGACCCUUCAGCUUCCCUUCUGGACCUUCGAGGCUCACAUCUGGGGCUUCGAUGUCCACCUUGGGUCCUGAGACAACAACGUCAGCCUUAGGCAAGUUCACAUCAAAUUCUGGCCCCUCUCCUUUGAGGCUGGGCAUGCUAAAUUUGGGCAUUUUAAUCUUUG